rfam:Schistosoma curassoni strain Dakar, Senegal genome assembly, scaffold: SCTD_scaffold0000227
GCACUGCUGAGGAGUCCCACAAUAGGACAAAACGGCCGUUCAGUGC